rnacentral:rRNA from 1 species
AAGCGUGCGCAGGCGGUUAUAUAAGACAGAUGUGAAAUCCCCGGGCUCAACCUGGGAACUGCAUUUGUGACUGUAUAGCUGGAGUGCGGCAGAGGGGGAUGGAAUUCCGCGUGUAGCAGUGAAAUGCGUAGAUAUGCGGAGGAACACCGAUGGCGAAGGCAAUCCCCUGGGCCUGCACUGACGCUCAUGCACGAAAGCGUGGGGAGCAAACAGGAUUAGAUACCCUUGGU